UACGAAGGGGGCUAGCGUUGUUCGGAUUUACUGGGCGUAAAGCGCACGUAGGCGGGCUAAUAAGUCAGGGGUGAAAUCCCGGGGCUCAACCCCGGAACUGCCUUUGAUACUGUUAGUCUUGAGUAUGGUAGAGGUGAGUGGAAUUCCGAGUGUAGAGGUGAAAUUCGUAGAUAUUCGGAGGAACACCAGUGGCGAAGGCGGCUCACUGGACCAUUACUGACGCUGAGGUGCGAAAGCGUGGGGAGCAAACAGGAUUAGAAACCCGAGUAGUCC
rnacentral:rRNA from 1 species